UACGAAGGGUGCAAGCGUUACUCGGAAUUACUGGGCGUAAAGGGUUUGUAGGUGGCCCGCUAAGUCACACGUGAAAUCCCUCAGCUUAACUGGGGAACUGCGUGUGAGACUGGCAGGCUCGAGGGCAGGAGAGGAACGCGGAAUUCCAGGUGUAGCGGUGAAAUGCGUAGAUAUCUGGAGGAACACCGGUGGCGAAGGCGGCGUUCUGGACUGUCUCUGACACUGAAGAACGAAAGCCAGGGGAGCAAACGGG
rnacentral:rRNA from 1 species